rnacentral:rRNA from 1 species
UACAGCUUCCUCACCAGUCACUUUAAUACCAAAAACACUACAUAACCCUCACCCAGUACUAAAUAACUCUAUACCCCUAUAGAAAUUAUUAUGCUAAAACUAGUAACAUGAAGAAGCCCUUCUCCUAAAUGUACAUGUACGCCAAAAAGAACAAUUCAUUGGCAUUUAACGCUACUGACCCUAAAGCAACAACUAUACAAGAGAAUCUUGCUAACACCAACGUUAACCUAACACAAGAACAUUUCAGGAAAGAUUAAAAGAGGUGGAAGGAACUCGGCAAAUUUUAACCCCGCCUGUUUACCAAAAACAUCGCCUCCUGCAACAUAUAGGAGGUCCAGCCUGCCCAGUGACCAAGUUAAACGGCCGCGGUACC